rnacentral:rRNA from 1 species
UACGUAGGGUGCGAGCGUUAAUCGGAAUUACUGGGCGUAAAGCGUGCGCAGGCGGUUUUGUAAGCCAGAUGUGAAAGCCCCGGGCUCAACCUGGGAAUGGCAUUUGGGACUGCAAGGCUUGAGUGCGGCAGAGGAGACUGGAAUUCCUGGUGUAGCAGUGAAAUGCGUAGAUAUCAGGAGGAAUACCGAUGGCGAAGGCAGGUCUCUGGGCUGACACUGACGCUCAGGCACGAAAGCGUGGGGAGCAAACAGG